rnacentral:tRNA from 1 species
GCUCCUAUAGUUUAACGGAUAAAACAUCAGUUUCCGGAACUGAAAAUGGGGGUUCGAUUCCCUCUAGGAGCA